UACGUAGGGUGCGAGCGUUAAUCGGAAUUACUGGGCGUAAAGGGUGCGCAGGCGGUUAUAUAAGUUAGAUGUGAAAUCCCCGAGCUCAACUUGGGAAUGGCAUUUAAGACUGUAUGACUAGAGUUUGUUAGAGGGGGGUAGAAUUCCAAGUGUAGCAGUGAAAUGCGUAGAUAUUUGGAGGAAUACCAAUGGCGAAGGCAGCCCCCUGGGAUAGAACUGACGCUCAUGCACGAAAGCGUGGGUAGCAAACAGG
rnacentral:rRNA from 1 species